AACGAACGCUGGCGGCAGGCUUAACACAUGCAAGUCGAACGCCCGUAGCAAUACGGGAGUGGCGGACGGGUGAGUAACGCGUGGGAACGUGCCCUGAGGUACGGAAUAACUGCGGGAAACUGCAGCUAAUACCGUAUGAGCCCCUUACGGGGGAAAGAUUUAUCGACUUAGGCGCGGCCCGCGUCGGAUUAGCUAGUUGGUGGGGUACCGGCUUACCAAGGCUUCGAUCCGUAGCUGGUCUGAGAGGACGAUCAGCCACACUGGGACUGAGACACGGCCCAGGCUCCUACGGGAGGCAGCAGUGGGGAAUCUUGCGCAAUGGGGGCAACCCUGACGCAGCCAUGCCGCGUGAAUGAUGAAGGCCUUAGGGUUGUAAAGUUCUUUUGCCCAUGACGAUGAUGACGGUAACGGGAGAAUAAGCUCCGGCUAACUUCGUGCCAGCAGCCGCGGUAAAAC
rnacentral:rRNA from 1 species